GAACCAGUACCGUGAGGGAAAGGCGAAAAGAACCCCGGCGAGGGGAGUGAAAAAGAACCUGAAACCGUGUACGUACAAGCAGUGGGAGCACCCUUUGGGUGUGACUGCGUACCUUUUGUAUAAUGGGUCAGCGACUUAUAUUCUGUAGCAAGGUUAACCGAAUAGGGGAGCCGGAGGGAAACCGAGUCUUAACCGGGCGUUAAGUUGCAGGGUAUAGACCCGAAACCCGGUGAUCUAGCCAUGGGCAGGUUGAAGGUUGGGUAACACUAACUGGAGGACCGAACCGACUAAUGUUGAAAAAUUAGCGGAUGACCUGUGGCUGGGGGUGAAAGGCCAAUCAAACCGGGAGAUAGCUGGUUCUCCCCGAAAGCUAUUUAGGUAGCGCCUCGUGAAUUCAUCUCCGGGGGUAGAGCACUGUUUCGGCUAGGGGGCCAUCCCGGCUUACCAACCCGAUGCAAACUGCGAAUACCGGAGAAUGUUAUCACGGGAGACACACGGCGGGUGCUAACGUCCGUCGUGAAGAGGGAAACAACCCAGACCGCCAGCUAAGGUCCCAAAGUCAUGGUUAAGUGGGAAACGAUGUGGGAAGGCCCAGACAGCCAGGAUGUUGGCUUAGAAGCAGCCAUCAUUUAAAGAAAGCGUAAUAGCUCACUGGUCGAGUCGGCCUGCGCGGAAGAUGUAACGGGGCUAAACCAUG
rnacentral:rRNA from 1 species